GUUUACCAUUCGAGAAACCCUGAAUUUACGAGGGAUGAGUUCACUGAUCUGUGAUGAAGAUUUAAUGCAAUCCUUAUUGUUUAAUUAUCUCAUUGAAAUAAAAUCAAGGAACUACUUUCUAUGCAUUGUACUCGUUGACGUCAUUAAUCGACACAAAAGAAUCGAUUACAGUUGAAAUAAUCAUGUCCUUAAGCCAAGAACGAAUAAGUACUAUUAUUACUUUGUAACCAAUUUGAAACAUAUAAUAGUAUUAAGAAUGGACUAAAUGCUUUGAAGUGUGUCGAAAGUAUUUUAUGGUUCGAUAGAUAUUAACAUAGAUCGAGAAUAUAAUGUACAAUAACAUCUUUACCGUGAUAUGAUAUAUUUUACUUUAUAUGGAUGUUUUCCAUUUCGUUUGGCGAACAAACCAAACAGGGGUUCAAAUUGUAAAUAUCCUCCCAAUUACAUAAAAGCGCGUGAGAUAAAAAUUCGUUGGACUUAAUUGACUGCCACUGGUUGAUAAAAUCUCGAUUUAUCAUAUACGAUCAUGCAGCGUUUCUACAAGACAGAGUUAACGUCCUUUUAUCAUUUAUUUUGCCAAUCAAUUUAUAGGUCACAUAAAAUUCAAUGGAAAAUUUCAUUAAGUAGGUUUGUUUUUAGCAUUUUUCCUUUUACAUUAUAAUUAUCUGACGGACAAUAUUUAACGUUCAAUAUUAUCGUUUGUGUAACGUUCCAGAUUUUUUCAUCUCAUAUUAUUAUCAAUCAAGUGAUAUUUAUAUCCUUCGUAUAUUUGUUAUGAAUAUAAUUGCAUAUUUAAGAAUGUGAUACGUUUCAUUAGAUUCGAUAUGAAUUUACAAGAUAAAUUCGGGGAUAACUUCGCGGGAAGAAAGCGGUGCAUUAUUCGAAUGGAAGAAAUAAGAACAGUGUUACAAAGAAGAAGAAAUGAUCGUGGAAAAAGAAGAAGAGGAAAUGGACGAGCUGGAUAGCGUGUUUCGACUGCGCACUAGCGUUAUCCGGCAAUUGCUGUUUUUUUACUCGCUUGAUUUCAAAUGAAGGGGUACCACCGGCGAACUACAUAGUGAUGAAAGAUAUUCGAGCAAUAGACAUGUUUCCAUGCUGUCCCUUAGUCGGCGACACUCACGAGAAACCAUAGUUUGACUUUCAAAUCUAAGGGCGUCAUCUGCUUUUUCCUAAAUUUCAAUCAUUAUCAAUAAAUUUGUUACACAAGACAAGUUGUUGUGCAAUACAAAUUAAUACAAACGGCUAAAAGAAAAAGGAUGUGAAACGUGACCACUAUCAGUGAGGCCAAGGGACCAACAUCUUUCCUUUUCAUAAGAGAAGAUUAUGUACUUUAAAAUUAAGUUGCUCAUUUUCUAUUACUCCGUAGCUCUAUAGCUCUUAAAUGUUAUAAAAAUUGUAGUAUAUUUAAACAAACUUAGAUAAAAUUAUGAAAUUUCUAAUACUGAAAUAUUUUAGGGAGUUAAAUAGCUAUUUGAAGCGAUUCGGUAUGAAUGAGUCAAUGAUGAUUAUAUUAUUUGAAAACAAACCUCAUAUAGAGCGUCUAACGUUCCAUGGGAAGGUAUAUAGAUAAUUGAUGGUUAAGUAUUCAUCAGGUUGGAUUUACGUGCGCUAUAGCAUCACACAAACACGCUAGGCAUCGUCAUCCGAGUUAAAAGCGGCUCAGCGUAGAGUUGCUACGUGAUUCCCUGCAACGUUAGAAAUUUCGGUGCCUUAUGAUUCGGAGAAUUUUUUUAUAUCUAGUCCAUACAGUUCUCACGUAUAUAAAUACCGAGUAAUAGCCCAAUAUAGAUUUCACGAUAAAAAAUUGUGUAAUUAAUUCUUCUUAGUAAUUUCUUUUUCAUAUUAUAACGAUAGCCUUUCAUUGCUAAUUGUUUAAACAUACAUUAAUUAGUUAUCCACUUGCUAUUUAUUAUUAAUCUAAUCUUCUCAGUAUAAACAAAAGACCUUUCUGUAAUGAUACUACAUAUUUACCAUAUAUUGUUUAAAUUAAAAGCAUGUUCUAAAGAUAAUAAAAUAUUUUCGGAAACGUGAUUAGCAACAGGUUUCGGAAUUAGGUGAAGGAUUACGAAGCUUACAUACGCAUGAGGAUCAUCGCACGAGCUCGCAAGAAAAACAAAUCUGGACUCUUGCGUUAAAUGAUUCAAUAAUCAAUGAUACAGCGAGCUUUCACAGUUACCAUAUGGUACAUAGCAAUACUGACCCAAGCUUCUUAUAAUCUAGAAACGAACAAUUAUGUAGUUAAGAAUCGCAAAUUCUAUUCUCAAAUCUUUUCUAAUUAUUUUCAAAAUACAUUUUAUAAAUUUACAAUGAUAGGAAAAUUUAUAAGAAAUUCUAACUACACAAGGAUAAAAAUAAUUGCAGAAAGAAAUAUAAAAAUGAAUUUAUCUUCGUUAUUUUUUAGAUUCAACAUAUUAUAUUUAAAUUAAGAAGUUUCAAUUAUGUCAGGUAAAUUGAAUGACUAUCCAUCAAUGUAACUAUUAGCAGGUCUUAAAGACAAAAUUAUCAAGCUUUAUAUUAUUACAGCUGUAACGUAAGAUUAAAGGCUGUCGACCGCAAAAUAUUUGGCAAAGUACCACCCCCGAAGUGUGUAUUCCUUAAGCUUCAUUUAUUUUUGGAACGUCUUUACUGACACUAAAGAUGUUCCAUUUCGAUCAUAAUAUUAAUAGCAUGACUCAACAUUACAUGAAACAUAUGGGCAUGCAUAAUAUUUGUACAAAGUAUACUUUUUAACGCGAGAAUUGUAAUUAAUUUGUGAUGUAUUUUUAAAUUACCAAAAUUAAAGAUUCUUAACUUGCA